rnacentral:rRNA from 1 species
GUGGUAAUGCCGGAUGCUCCAGUUGAUCGCAUGGUCUUCUGGGAAAGCUUUCGCGGUAUGGGAUGGGGUCGCGUCCUAUCAGCUUGACGGCGGGGUAACGGCCCACCGUGGCUUCGACGGGUAGCCGGCCUGAGAGGGCGACCGGCCACAUUGGGACUGAGAUACGGCCCAGACUCCUACGGGAGGCAGCAGUGGGGAAUAUUGCACAAUGGGCGCAAGCCUGAUGCAGCGACGCCGCGUGAGGGAUGGAGGCCUUCGGGUUGUAAACCUCUUUUAUCGGGGAGCAAGCGAGAGUGAGUUUACCCGUUGAAUAAGCACCGGCUAACUACGUGCCAGCAGCCGCGGUAAUACGUAGGGUGCAAGCGUUAUCCGGAAUUAUUGGGCGUAAAGGGCUCGUAGGCGGUUCGUCGCGUCCGGUGUGAAAGUCCAUCGCUUAACGGUGGAUCCGCGCCGGGUACGGGCGGGCUUGAGUGCGGUAGGGGAGACUGGAAUUCCCGGUGUAACGGUGGAAUGUG